rnacentral:lncRNA from 1 species
GUGAAAUGUCUCUUCUCAUUACAGCCAGUUCUUAGCUGGUGCCUACCAGGUGGUACUGGGGAUUUUUUUAUGCUGUUCAGCUCUGCUCAAGUGAGACAAGCAAACCCUUCUGGAAAGACCUCAUGUAGGAUCUUGUUAAUUGCCAUCACCACCCAUGUAGACUAAUGAUGUUCUACCAAAUUCAUAACUGAGCAAUGAAAGAGCCUCAAUGUGGUCUGAAUUGUGGCAUUCAUUGGAGGUAACCCCUAUGACUU